rnacentral:rRNA from 1 species
AGUGGGGAAUAUUGGACAAUGGGCGAAAGCCUGAUCCAGCCAUGCCGCGUGUGUGAAGAAGGCCUUCGGGUUGUAAAGCACUUUCAGUGGGGAAGAAAGCCUUGGGGCUAAUACCCUCGAGGAAGGACAUCACCCACAGAAGAAGCACCGGCUAACUCUGUGCCAGCAGCCGCGGUAAUACGGAGGGUGCGAGCGUUAAUCGGAAUUACUGGGCGUAAAGCGCGCGUAGGCGGUCUGAUAAGCCGGUUGUGAAAGUCCCGGGCUCAACCUGGGAACGGCAUCCGGAACUGUCAGGCUAGAGUGCAGGAGAGGAAGGUAGAAUUCCCGGUGUAGCGGUGAAAUGCGUAGAGAUCGGGAGGAAUACCAGUGGCGAAGGCGGCCUUCUGGACUGACACUGACGCUGAGGUGCGAAAGCGUGGGUAGCAAACAGGAUUAGAUACCCUGGUAGUCCACGCCGUAGACGAUGUCGACUAGCCGUUGGGCUCCUUGAGAGCUUUGUGGCGCAGUUAACGCGAUAAGUCGACCGCCUGGAGAGUACGGCCGCAAGGUUA